rnacentral:rRNA from 1 species
AACGAACGCUGGCGGCAUGCCUAACACAUGCAAGUCGAACGAGACCUUCGGGUCUAGUGGCGCACGGGUGCGUAACGCGUGGGAACCUGCCUUUAGGUUCGGAAUAACUCAGAGAAAUUUGAGCUAAUACCGGAUGAUGUCUUCGGACCAAAGAUUUAUCGCCUUUAGAUGGGCCCGCGUUGGAUUAGCUAGUUGGUGGGGUAAAGGCCUACCAAGGCGACGAUCCAUAGCUGGUCUGAGAGGAUGAUCAGCCACACUGGGACUGAGACACGGCCCAGACUCGUACGGGAGGCAGCAGUGGGGAAUAUUGGACAAUGGGCGAAAGCCUGAUCCAGCAAUGCCGCGUGAGUGAUGAAGGCCUUAGGGUUGUAAAGCUCUUUUACCCGAGAUGAUAAUGACAGUAUCGGGAGAAUAAGCGCCGGCUAACUCCGUG